GGACCAUUUCUAUCUCCUAUUGAAGCAUACUUGGUUUUGCCUAAAGCUCCAUGCAGACUAGUUUUGAAGCUCCACACAGACUGGGCCAAUAGCUCUUCACUUAGUACACUCAAAUGGAUCUAUGGUUCUGAAGGAAAUAGGGGAGGAAGGUAGACAUUUCAGAGGAGCUUUGGGUGUUUGACCUUUGGACCAAAACAGAAGAGACUAGAGCUACAGAUUUUGGGGGUGGUCUUCCAAGGUUUCUCUGAAUCCACUCAAGAAGACCACAUUUUCAUCAAAGAUUGCAGUAGGAGAUUGUCAGAGGUAAGAAAUGAGAAAGGGAGUAUAAAAUUCAAGGUCUCCCUCUUGCCCUCAGAAUCUCAGUAUAGCCCUUUAUUUUCAGGCCUCAAUAAUUGCUUUUAUUUCCUUAGGCGGGGUAGUGUGACUGAUCCUUGGUUGUGAACUAGUCU